rnacentral:tRNA from 1 species
GUGGUCGUAGCUCAGUGGUAGAGUGCUUGCCUAGCAUGUGUGAGGGCCUAGGUUCGAUUCUCAGCACCACA